GACUUCAGGUUUUAUUUGGAGUAUAGAGCUGUGGGACAUCAUACAGCUGCAGUCCAAUAUGCAUACAAGUACUGUGUGAUUUGGUGCAUGUGAUAGUGUUUGUUAAUAGUGUCUGUGUCUGUCUUCAUCAGCUGCUCAGGACGUGCAGGGUGUCGCAUCAGCUGCUGCUCAGUUUAAGACUGUGUCCACUCUGCAGGAACCAUUGUGUCCAAGAACCUGCAACAGUGAGCUGCUGAUGCAGAUGUUUUUCCAUCAGUGCUCUCAGCCUCGCAGUGACAGAGAUUGUCCCACAGCAUCUCCUCUCCCUGCAGAACCUCACGUGUCCAUCUACAGAAGUCCUGGUGUCCAGGGUUUUUACUGCAACUGUUAAACCUUUACAUUAAGUUCAGGAGAAGACUGUGGAUUGGCUCCUUCAUCACUUGCAUUGGAAGAGCAGGAAUGAUUAAACUAAUGACAAGCCCUUCAGCUGACCUGCUGACCCUCAUCAGAGCAACAAAGAGCCGGAUAGCAGCAGUGGGACAAUAAGAUGGAGAGGUUGCCGAGGGUGAUGAGAUAAAAGCAGUGACACAACACUGAUGGAGGGAUCAGGAGCAUGACAGGAGGACGACAGGAGGAUGGUGAAGGGCCUGAUUAUAUGAAACUCGGCUCUACUCUAUACAGGAUGACAGUGAA